rnacentral:lncRNA from 1 species
AUUAGACUCGCGCGGAAUCUGACCCGCCGCGCCGCCGCCGCCGCCGCGCGUUUUCCGCCGCUUUUUGUUUGCGCAGCUGCAGCGGCCAUCAGAUGGGGAGCUGCCUGCCCGUCUACAUGUCUGUCUAUCUGUCUGUCUGUCCACCAGCCUGCCUGUCUCUCUGUCUGGCUGUCCGCUGUCCACAUGCCUGUCUGUCUGUCUGUCCACCAGCCUGCCUGUCUCUCUGUCUGGCUGUCCGCUGUCCACAUGCCUGUCUGUCUAUCUGUCCACCAGCCUGCCUGUCUCUCUGUCUGGCUGUCCGCUGUCCACAUGCCUGUCUGUCUAUCUGUCCACCAGCCUGCCUGUCUCUCUGUCUGGCUGUCCGCUGUCCACAUGCCUGUCUGUCUAUCUGUCCACCAGCCUGCCUGUCUCUCUGUCUGGCUGUCCGCUGUCCACAUGCCUGUCUGUCUAUCUGUCCACCAGCCUGCCUGUCUCUCUGUCUGGCUGUCCGCUGUCCACAUGCAUGUCUGUCUAUCUGUCUGUCUGUCCACCAGCCUGCCUGUCUCUCUGUCUGGCUGUCCGCUGUCCACAUGCCUGUCUGUUUGUCUGUCUGUCUGUCCACCAGCCUGCCUGUCUCUCUGUCUGGCUGUCCGCUGUCCACAUGCCUGUCUGUUUGUCUGUCUGCCUGCCUGUCUGUCUCUGUCUGGCUGUCUACCUGCCUGUCUGUCUACCUGCCUGCCUGUCUGUCUCUGUCUGUCUGGCUGUCUGCCCGCCACUCCCAGAAUGUAUCUGAAGGAGGAAGGACGUGGUUUGGUCACGGCUGCGGUGAGACCUCUUCAUCCUGCGGUGGGUCCGGGGCCUUCUGCGUGUGGCCGAGAAAUGACGACCAAUGAAGAAGCUUCAGACAGACGAGUUCAGUGACGUCACACGGGGCAAAAAGUCCCCCGACUUCUUUCAAAUGCUGAUAUAUGUAAUAUAGUGAUAUAUAUUUCAAAAAACCCUCAUCUGUCCAUUGAUGAUUGAUAUGCUGAUUGACAGGGACAGAUUAGAACUGGCAGGGACAGUCAGCACCAUAGAAGAAGUCCUCAU